GACGAACGCUGGUGGCGUGCUUAACACAUGCAAGUCGAACGGAAAGGCCCUGCUUUUGCGGGGUGCUCGAGUGGCGAACGGGUGAGUAACACGUGAGUAACCUGCCCUUGACUUUGGGAUAACUUCAGGAAACUGGGGCUAAUACCGGAUAGGAGCUCCUGCUGCAUGGUGGGGGUUGGAAAGUUUCGGCGGUUGGGGAUGGACUCGCGGCUUAUCAGCUUGUUGGUGGGGUAGUGGCUUACCAAGGCUUUGACGGGUAGCCGGCCUGAGAGGGUGACCGGCCACAUUGGGACUGAGAUACGGCCCAGACUCCUACGGGAGGCAGCAGUGGGGAAUAUUGCACAAUGGGCGGAAGCCUGAUGCAGCAACGCCGCGUGCGGGAUGACGGCCUUCGGGUUGUAAACCGCUUUCGCCUGUGACGAAGCGUGAGUGACGGUAAUGGGUAAAGAAGCACCGGCUAACUACGUGCCAGCAGCCGCGGUGAUACGUAGGGUGCGAGCGUUGUCCGGAUUUAUUGGGCGUAAAGGGCUCGUAGGUGGUUGAUCGCGUCGGAAGUGUAAUCUUGGGGCUUAACCCUGAGCGUGCUUUCGAUACGGGUUGACUUGAGGAAGGUAGGGGAGAAUGGAAUUCCUGGUGGAGCGGUGGAAUGCGCAGAUAUCAGGAGGAACACCAGUGGCGAAGGCGGUUCUCUGGGCCUUUCCUGACGCUGAGGAGCGAAAGCGUGGGGAGCGAACAGGCUUAGAUACCCUGGUAGUCCACGCUGUAAACGGUGGGUACUAGGUGUGGGGUCCAUUCCACGGGUUCCGUGCCGUAGCUAACGCUUUAAGUACCCCGCCUGGGGAGUACGGCCGCAAGGCUAAAACUCAAAGGAAUUGACGGGGCCCCGCACAAGCGGCGGAGCAUGCGGAUUAAUUCGAUGCAACGCGUAGAACCUUACCUGGGUUUGACAUGGAUCGGGAGCGCUCAGAGAUGGGUGUGCCUCUUUUGGGGUCGGUUCACAGGUGGUGCAUGGCUGUCGUCAGCUCGUGUCGUGAGAUGUUGGGUUAAGUCCCGCAACGAGCGCAACCCUUGUUCACUGUUGCCAGCACGUUAUGGUGGGGACUCAGUGGAGACCGCCGGGGUCAACUCGGAGGAAGGUGGGGAUGACGUCAAGUCAUCAUGCCCCUUAUGUCCAGGGCUUCACGCAUGCUACAAUGGCUGGUACAGAGAGUGGCGAGCCUGUGAGGGUGAGCGAAUCUCGGAAAGCCGGUCUCAGUUCGGAUUGGGGUCUGCAACUCGACCUCAUGAAGUCGGAGUCGCUAGUAAUCGCAGAUCAGCAACGCUGCGGUGAAUACGUUCCCGGG
rnacentral:rRNA from 1 species